CCUACGGGUGGCAGCAGUGAGGAAUAUUGGUCAAUGGACGAGAGUCUGAACCAGCCAAGUAGCGUGCAGGAUGACUGCCCUAUGGGUUGUAAACUGCUUUUAUACGGGAAUAAAACGAGGCACGUGUGCCUUUUUGCAUGUACUUUAUGAAUAAGGAUCGGCUAACUCCGUGCCAGCAGCCGCGGUAAUACGGAGGAUCCGGGCGUUAUCCGGAUUUAUUGGGUUUAAAGGGAGCGUAGAUGGGUUGUUAAGUCAGUUGUGAAAUUUGGUGGCUCAACCGUAGCAUUGCAAUUGAUACUGGCAUUCUUGAGUACAGGUGAGGUAAGCGGAAUUCGUGGUGUAGCGGUGAAAUGCUUAGAUAUCACGAAGAACCCCGAUUGCGAAGGCAGCCUACGAAACCGCGACUGACGCUGAGGCUCGAAAGCGUGGGUAUCAAACAGGAUUAGAUACCCUUGUAGUC
rnacentral:rRNA from 1 species